CCAAGGGCGUCCUCCUGGCGGGACCUCUGGGAGUGUUGUUCGUGACUCCGCGAGCUGCGGACGGGUCACUGCGGCUUGGCAGUCCAGGCUGGAAUGCAGUAGCAUCAUCGCAGCUCAUUAUAACCUCAAACUCCUGGACUCAAGUGAUCCUCCUCCCUCAGCCUCCUGAGUAGUUGGGACAACAGGCCCAUAGUUCAGAGAAAUAUUUCUCUACUUAAAGAAGAUCUACCAGCAAGUCUGAUGAUAACUGGAAACCAGCCUCAAUGUGAGAGGAGUACAUGGAGCUCCAGGGGCAGACCCAGGAUUCAUGGAGUCUCGAAUGUAUACAAUUGGGGAGGCCUCUUCUUUCAUGUUUACCUGGAUGGAGCUGGAACAUAUUCUUCUUAGUAAAGUAUCUCAAGAAUGGAAGAAAAAGUAUCCAAUGAACUCAGCCCUACUAUGAAACUAAUUUAGGGCUUUCACAUGAAAGCUAUAACCCAGUUACAACCUAAGAAUAGGGGGAAGGGGUAAAGAGAGGGGAGGGAGGGGGGAGGUGGGUAGAGGGAGGAGGAUUAAUGGGAUUACACC